ensembl:lncRNA
CUCCGAAGCCCCGAUCAAAUGAUUCACGAAAUGCGAUUCAGAGUCCCGAUCUGAAUCAAAUGUUUUGCGAACUCGCUCUGAAGCCCCGAUCAAAUGAUUGGGGAAGCGCACUUCGGAGUCCCGAUCUGAAUAAAAUGUUUUGGAUCCGCCUUCAAGUCGCCAAACCCCUGUGACUGUCAAAUUCGUUUAGGUGCCGCCCAGAGGAUCAGCUCCGCGGGCGGCGCCGUCAAACAGCUGAUCCUGAGCGGACCUAUGGCGUGCAUCAGUCCAGAAUUUCUUUGCUGGGACACGGUUGCGCUGAACCCUCUUUUGAGACUGCCUCUGCAUAGGGCCCGGGAUCUUGUGCGGCCCCCUGGGGACGUCCCCUGUUUGCUGGUGCUCUUGCUGAGGCAUGGGAAAAAUAAAGGAGCUGGAAAAAACACCUGCUAGUGACAUCAGCAUCAUCUACACACCUGCUAGUGUCGUCAGCAUCAUCUACACACCUGCUAGUGACAUCAGCAUCAUCUACACACCUGCUAGUGACAUCAGCAUCAUCUACACACCUGCUAGUGACAUCAGCAUCAUCUACACACCUGCUAGUGUCAUCAGCAUCAUCUACACACCUGCUAGUGACAUCAGCAUCAUCUACUCACCUGAUAGUGUCAUCAGCAUCAUCUACACACCUGCUAGUGACAUCAGCAUCAUCUACACACCUGCUAGUGACAUCAGCAUCAUCUACACACCUGAUAGUGUCAUCAGCAUCAUCUACACACCUGCUAGUGACAUCAGCAUCAUCUACACACCUGCCAGUGACAUCAGCAUCAUCUACACACCUGCUAGUGACAUCAGCAUCAUCUACACACCUGCUAGUGACAUCAGCAUCAUCUACACACCUGCCAGUGACAUCAGCAUCAUCUACACACCUGCUAGUGACAUCAGCAUCAUCUACACACCUGCCAGUGACAUCAGCAUCAUCUACACACCUGCUAGUGACAUCAGCAUCAUCUACACACCUGCUAGUGACAUCAGCAUCAUCUACACACCUGCCAGUGACAUCAGCAUCAUCUACACACCUGCUAGUGACAUCAGCAUCAUCUACACACCUGCCAGUGACAUCAGCAUCAUCUACACACCUGCUAGUGACAUCAGCAUCAUCUACACACCUGCUAGUGACACCAUGCUUCUCUUCACCUGCUAUUUUGCAUGGUCCCCAAUAAACUCAAGGUGGGAUGCCUCUCCGAUUCUUUCACAUCAGGGCACUUAACCUCUACCAGGACACAGAGAGGUUCUUCAUUUGGGUCCACCACUUUGCCAUCUGCACCAAGGUGUGGAGCAUCAGGGUGGAUGAUGAGACCAGAUGGAAGAACGUUAACGUCAAAGGUCUCCUCAUAGCAGUGAAGAACCUCUGGCUCAAGUUUGAAUCCUCUACACAUCGCUCUCUAGAGACCCCGACAGAUGUUUACACACACUGUUUAAUGCAAGAUAUAAAUGCAUUUAACCUGCAAUUACAAAUACAUAAUGUUUUGAUGUUUUAAUCCCAAAAUGUCGAAUACUGAUAUUUGCAACGAUAAAAGAAAGAAAGUGCUUUAAGAAAAAUAUUGGCCAUACUUAAGUGGUAGAUUUCUGCCAUUUACUGGAAAACAUUUAAAAUUACAAUUUUAAACAGAAGCACUAUAUGAACAAAGUCAUUAAGUGUCAUGUCAUUUAGAUGAAUUAGAAUUUAAUUUGGGGUCCUGAAAUACCCUGAACACUGUACAGAGGUUAAGAUGACCAUUGCUACAUAAAUAAAAAUUGAAACUCAUCCUAUUUUGUUUUAAUUUUCCCUUACUAAAUUAUACAAUACAAUACAAUACAAUGUUAUUUGUUAAGCACAUUUAAAACAACCGAGGUUAGCCAAAGUGCUGGACACUGACAUAAUUAAGUCUUGUUCUAGGAACAGAUAAGAGUAGUUGGUCAGCAGACCUCAAUGACCUGAGAGGAGCAUGCAUCAUCAGUAGAUCAUCUAUGUAAGCUGGGGCUUGACCAUGAAGAGAUUUAAAAACAAACAAUAAAAUCUUAAUCCGUAUUCUAAAACAAACAGGUAGCCAAUGAAGAGAAGCAAGAACAGGCAUAAUGUGCUCUCGUUUACGGGUUCCAGUAAGGAGUCGAGCGGCAGGAUUCUGAACUGUUUGCAAUAUAGAAAGAGAGGCCUGGUUAACUCCUAUAAAGCAUUAUAAUAAUCCAGGCGAGUGGUGAUAAAAGCA